GUUCGGGCUUCCUGAAGGUAAUACCCUUCAGGUUUAAGUAUUAGGUUAUGGGGCUAGGAUUAGGUUUAAGGUUUUUGGCGUAAGGGUUAAAAUCACUGUCCAAUAUUUUCUAAGGAACAUGUUUCAGACCUUUUGGAGCUAGUUUGACCAAAAAAAAAAAGAUAAAUGAAAAAAAAAUAUUUGGGGUGUUCGGGCUUCCUGAAGGUAAUACCCGGAUAUUAGGUUAUGGGGCUAGGGUAAGGUUUAAGGUUUUUGGCGUAAGGGUUAAAAUCACUGUCCAAAACCUUUUUAGGAACAUGUUUCAGACCUUUUGGAGUUGGUUACACCAAAAAAAAUGUAAAAUGAAAAAAAUUUUUUUUUGGGUGUUCGGGCUUCCUGAAGGUAAUACUAGGUUUCUGGGCUAGGGUAAUGUUUAAGGUUUUUGGCGUAAGGGUUAAAAUCAAUGUCCAAAACCUUUGUAGGAACUCUUUUCCAACCUUUGAGAGCAAGUUAGACAAAAAAAAAAAAAGAUAAAUGAAAAAAAAAAUAUUUGGGGUGUUCGGGUUUCCUGAAG